GACGAACGCUGGCGGCGUGCUUAACACAUGCAAGUCGAACGCUGAAGCACCAGCUUGCUGGUGUGGAUGAGUGGCGAACGGGUGAGUAAUACGUGAGUAACCUGCCCUUGACUCUGGGAUAAGCCCGGGAAACUGGGUCUAAUACUGGAUGCUACAUGUCACCGCAUGGUGGUGUGUGGAAAGGGUUACUGGUCUUGGAUGGGCUCACGGCCUAUCAGCUUGUUGGUGAGGUAAUGGCUCACCAAGGCGACGACGGGUAGCCGGCCUGAGAGGGUGACCGGCCACACUGGGACUGAGACACGGCCCAGACUCCUACGGGAGGCAGCAGUGGGGAAUAUUGCACAAUGGGCGAAAGCCUGAUGCAGCGACGCCGCGUGAGGGAUGACGGCCUUCGGGUUGUAAACCUCUUUCAGCAGGGAAGAAGCCACAAGUGACGGUACCUGCAGAAGAAGCGCCGGCUAACUACGUG
rnacentral:rRNA from 1 species